rnacentral:lncRNA from 1 species
CCUUUGCCUCGCAGAUUUUGGAUUUGGGAAUUUCUACAAGCCAGGGGAGCCUCUGUCUACUUGGUGUGGGAGCCCCCCCUAUGCUGCUCCCGAAGUCUUUGAGGGGAAGGAGUAUGAAGGUCCCCAGCUGGACAUCUGGAGCCUCGGCGUGGUGCUGUAUGUCCUGGUCUGUGGCUCCCUCCCUUUUGAUGGACCCAACCUGCCUACGCUGAGACAGCGGGUGCUGGAGGGCCGCUUCCGCAUCCCCUUCUUCAUGUCUCAAGACUGUGAGACACUGAUCAGACGCAUGCUGGUAGUGGACCCCGCCAAGCGCAUCACCAUUGCCCAGAUCCGCCAGCACCGAUGGAUGCAGGCCGACCCCACCCUCCUGCAGCAGGACGACCCUGCCUUCUCCAUGCAGGGCUACACCUCCAACCUGGGCGACUACAACGAGCAGGUGCUGGGCAUCAUGCAGGCCCUGGGCAUCGACCGGCAGAGGACAGUAGAGUCUCUACAGAACAGCAGCUACAACCACUUUGCGGCUAUUUACUACCUCCUGCUCGAGCGCCUCAGGGAGCAUCGAAGCACCCAGCCCUCAUCCCGGGCCACCCCUGCACCUGCCAGACAGCCUCAGCUCCGAAACUCAGA